rnacentral:tRNA from 1 species
GGACUGUAGCUCAGUUGGUAGAGUGCUUGCCUCACAUGUACAAUGUCCUGGGUUCAAUCCUCAGCACCA